rnacentral:rRNA from 1 species
AGAGUUUGAUCUUGGCUCAGGACGAACGCUGGCGGCGUGCCUAACACAUGCAAGUCGAACGGAGAUACUUUUGAAGCUUGCGAUAAAGUAUCUUAGUGGCGGACGGGUGAGUAACGCGUGGGUAAUCUGCCCAUAAGUGGGGAACAACAGUUGGAAACGACUGCUAAUACCGCAUAAUCUGCCUUAGGGUAGGAAAGGUGGCCUCUUAACAAUGCUGCCGCUUAUGGAUGAGCCCGCGUCUGAUUAGCUAGUUGGUGGGGUAAAGGCCUACCAAGGCGACGAUCAGUAGCCGGCCUGAGAGGGUGAACGGCCACACUGGGACUGAGACACGGCCCAGACUCCUACGGGAGGCAGCAGUGGGGAAUAUUGCGCAAUGGGGGAAACCCUGACGCAGCGACGCCGCGUGAGCGAAGAAGGCCUUAGGGUUGUAAAGCUCUGUUUUAGGGGACGAAUGUUCAUAGGAGUAAUAUGCCUGUGAAAUGACGGUACCCUAAGAAGCCCCGGCUAACUACGUGCCAGCAGCCGCGGUAAUACGUAGGGGGCAAGCGUUAUCCGGAAUU